rnacentral:rRNA from 1 species
AAACUUUGCAAUACACGAAAGUGUGACAGGGCUAUCCCGAGUGCCAUCCGCUGAGGAAGGCUUUUACCCAGUCUAGAACGCUGGGGGAAUAAGGAGAGGGCAAGUCUGGUGUCAGCCGCCGCGGUAAUACCAGCUCUCCGAGUGGUGUGGAUGUUUAUUGGGCCUAAAGCAUCCGUAGCUGGCUAAGUUAGUCCCCUGUUAAAUCCAACGAAUUAAUCGUUGGAUCGCGGGGGAUACUGCUUGGCUAGGGGACGAGAGAGGCAGACGGUAUUUCCGGGGUAGGGGUGAAAUCCUAUAAUCCCGGGAAGACCACCAGUGGCGAAGGCUGUCUGCUAGAACGCGCCCGACGGUGAGGGAUGAAAGCUGGGGGAGCGAACCGGA